ensembl:lncRNA
UUAUAUUAUAUUAUAUUAUCAUAUUAUGAGCUUGUUUCAAUGAUCCUUUGGAUACUCAAAUAAUAAGAGCAAGUUAUUAAUUUCUAAACAAGCACUUAGCAGUUUAUGUAUCAGCUACCAGCGAUGCCAGCAAUAUGAUAAGUGAUAUUUAAAAAGGUCUGCAGUCAACUUUUUGCAGCUCUAAGUGGAGAUAAUUUUGGGACCAGUAUUUAGCGCUUAACACUUUGGCAUGAAGCGUACACUGAAGUGUGUGGGUGUCUGCUUUCAUUUUGUUAUAUAUUCUGUGAUUUUGUGCCGUGGGUGAAGGCCAGAUGACUAAUCAUUGGCCUUGUUAUUUGUGUUUCUUGGUUGAAGAUGUCUAAAUCUUUAGCGUUGUGUCAUUACACACUGUAACCUGCCCUUGAUCCCUUAGCUUCAGUCAAUGUCUUUAGCCUUUUAGUUGCAUAAGCAUUAGUCAAAAACAGAUGCUCAAGUGAAUUUUAUUAGAUUCAUUUAUUAGAUUCAUCCCUCAUUGUGAGGGCCAGGGUUACAAAAACAGUUUACAAAGAUUAUUCUUAAAGUGCAUCUGGCUCAAAAAAAGUGACAUCAGUGUAGGCCUAAAUAAAAAGCCAAAACAAAUUGGUUAGUUAGGUCAAAAAAGUCUGAGUCAUUAUGCACUUAUGCCUAAGUGAUGGCUGAACAUGUUAAGUGCUGCUGAGGGCAAUGUAUUCCACAUUAUUUCCACUCUCCACGCUGAACCUCUCCUAUGCUAUUUAUCUAUUUAUUUAUUUUUAUUUGUUUAAUUAUUUAUUUGACUAAAGAGGGUUUCCAAUAUCAAUUCCACGAUUUUAUCCAAAACAAUUUACAAUUUUAGAGUCAGAAACAGAAAGAGCAGUUCGAUUCAGUUUAAACUGAAGGAAUAUAAUCUGGAUUCACUUUAAAAACAUUAUGUAAUUCCAACAAAUCACUUACUGACAAAACUUUACAUUCAUAAAUCUAAUUAUGAGUCAGUAUGCUGGGUAUUUCUGUCUUUUGUUUGCAUUAUCUUUUUCCCCCUAUAUUUAUCAAGUUAUGAAUGCUUUACUGAUAAUCACUGGCAAAACAAACUGUAAUGGAAAAGCUUAACUAACAUAUUUGUAUAUCAAGGUGCUUUAGAGAUUUUUUAAAUUCUGGUUUUAGAUGUGGAAUGGAUGGUUUUGAAAGUUUAUUUUUAUUUAUAUUUUAAGACACUUGCUGAGGUGUUUACAGGCACACAUCUGCUUUAAAACCUUCAUAAUAAUGCUAAUAAUGUCUGUCUACUUAACUCUUAUUAGCAGCAACAUGUAGUUUAGAAGUUUUCUCGUAGAUGUAAACCAUGGAAACAGUAGAGCUGCUUCUGUGAUUAUUCAAUCAUAGCCUACAGUAGAUUACCAUGCCAACUCAUGCAGCAGUGUAGCUUUGGUUACCAUAAAUGUAAGCAGGUCUGUGUGAACUGAAGUGAUAUUAUGGCAUUUAUUACAAUCUAAGGUCACAGGCUCACAUUAUCCAAAGUCUUAGUUUGUAAUAUGAAGUGGUUAAUAUAGAAAGGAGAAAUGUAAAUGAAAUGACUGUUUAAAACAAAUGUUUAUCAGUGUGCUCUGAAUAUAUGAAUGUGAAUGAGGGAAAUUUUCUAAUUGUGAGGCAACAUUAGAAAAGGGCUUCUAAACUGCUCCUGGUUUAAGACUGCUUUUUGUGCAAUAGACUACUAUUUAUUAAAAAUAUGAAUGUGUUCUGAUUCUAGAUAUCUGAUAUCUAGAUCAAUGAAACUUGUAAAGAUGGUCCCAAACCGGAAAAUGUAAAACUGUGUACAGAUAUCAAGAUGGACAAGCUGAAAAUAAAUUAUUUUAGUGAAAACA